CCUACGGGAGGCAGCAGUGGGGAAUAUUGGGCAAUGGGCGCAAGCCUGACCCAGCAACGCCGCGUGAAUGAAGAAGGCUUUCGGGUUGUAAACUUCUUUUCUCAGGGACGAAGAUAGUGACGGUACCUGAGGAAUAAGCCACUGCUAACUACGUGCCAGCAGCCGCGGUAAUACGUAGGUGGCAAGCGUUAUCCGGAUUUACUGGGAGUAAAGGGCGCGUAGGCGGCAAAGCAAGUCAGAGGUGAACGCCAUGGGCUCAACCUGUGGACUGCAUUUGAAACUGUUUGUCUGGAGUACUGGAGAGGCAGACGGAAUUCCUAGUGUAGCGGUGAAAUGCGUAGAUAUUAGGAGGAACACCAGUGGCGAAGGCGGUCUGCUGGACAGCAACUGACGCUGAGGCGCGAAAGCGUGGGGAGCAAACAGGAUUAGAUACCCCUGUAGUC
rnacentral:rRNA from 1 species